rnacentral:rRNA from 1 species
ACUUAUAGGAAUUGGCGGGGGAGCACCACAACGGGUGGAGCCUGCGGUUUAAUCGGACUCAACGCCGGGAAACUCACCGGACAAGACAGCUGGAUGAUAGUCGGGCUGAAGACUCUACUUGACUAGCUGAGAGGAGGUGCAUGGCCGUCGUCAGUUCGUACUGUGAAGCAUCCUGUUAAGUCAGGCAACGAGCGAGACCCACGCCAACAGUUGCCAGCAUGUUCUCCGGAAUGAUGGGGACACUGUUGGGACCGCCUCUGCUAAAGAGGAGGAAGGAAUGGGCAACGGUAGGUCAGCAUGCCCCGAAUUGUCCGGGCUACACGCGGGCUACAAUGGACGGGACAAUGGGUUUCGACACCGAAAGGUGAAGGCAAUCUCCUAAACCCGCCCUUAGUUCGG